AAGUAUAUGUACUGCAAUGACGUGACAGCAUGAUGACUCAGUAGUUGUAGGAAUGGUUGCUGUGAAAACUUAAGGCUUUUGGCUUUAUCAUAUUGCUAUUUGGGGUUAGUUCAUGGACCCGUAUCUCAAUUGUCCUUAAUUAAGUGCAAAGCAAUCUGUCCAGCAUAAAAUUUACAGAAAAACUUGCUUGAAAUCUGAGCACAUGUAUCCUCUGUUUUGCAAAAAAGGUAACCUGAAGUUCUUAUGCUUAAAUACAUAGAUGUUUGAUUAGUAUUUUCUGAAGUCGUGAUUAAUUUUUUGAUUCUGAUUAGAUUUAGAUGAUAAUUAGAUUUUUUGUUUCUAAUUUCCUAAUCUCUCUGUCCAGUUUGUCCUGAAAUUACUCAUGCAUAAACUUGGCCUUGUGGCAAGCAUUACGGAACAUUAUCCUAAUUUUCUGUACUACGAAGCUACAUGUAUCCUAGAAUUCCGCUACUAAGUUAUACCAACACUGACUGGUAAAUUACUAUUGAUUUGAGUCAUUACGAGAAUCUUGUUACAAAUCACUAGUUACAUGUUACAAUAGUAUAGACAAAAGGGCACAAAUGCUCGCAGCCUUCAGCUUGCCAAGGCAUUAAAAAUUAUUCAGCAAAUAUAAUGUGCUUCGUUAACAUCUCGUCUCCUGAUUAUGCAAAGCAGAAUGGUCAUUCUGGUGGCGAGUGUGUUUUGUACUGCCGCCCCUACUGGAAAUAGCAUUGCGUCAUGACUUCUUGAAGCUGUUGUCUUUCUACCUCUAGCCAUUGUUUUGUCCUCUUCAAGUUUCUUUCUAUAGUUAGAUGUUACAAACAUGUAUUUGCCAGCAAACAGGUGGGACUUCCAUGCUCCUCUCUUUAUGAAGGUUUCACAAAGAUACACAAGUUGAUGGAGGUGUGGAAUAUCUACAGGCUGCUGAAGAUUUGGAAGACCUACAAUUAAGUUGGAGUGAUUAUGUAAUGUUGUUUAUUGAACUUGAGACAUUGACAAUUUUUACUCUGCUCAUUUUGGUGGUUGUUUUGGCACAUAAGCCAUUGUAUGCUCA